UACGUAGGGUGCGAGCGUUGUCCGGAAUUAUUGGGCGUAAAGGGCUCGUAGGCGGUUUGUCGCGUCGGGAGUGAAAUCCACUGGCUUAACUGGUGGCUUGCUUUCGAUACGGGCAGACUGGAGGUAUGCAGGGGAGAACGGAAUUCCUGGUGUAGCGGUGAAAUGCGCAGAUAUCAGGAGGAACACCGGUGGCGAAGGCGAUUCUCUGGGCCUGUUCUGACGCUGAGGAGCGAAAGCGUGGGGAGCGAACAGG
rnacentral:rRNA from 1 species